rnacentral:lncRNA from 1 species
AGGGGUCUGAUAUAGAGAUGGUGAAUUCUGAACAUGGCACAGCCAGUGACAGCUGUGAGCUCGCUCCAGAAUGCACAUCUUUAGAGCAAGAGGAGCUACAAGUAUUGCAAUCAGAGGAAGGAGGUACGAUGUUAAAAGGAGUCUGAUUUUAUUUUUUUUAAAUAGGAUGUGUGAACAAUAGUGUGAAUCUUGCAUUCUUUCUAGUCAGGCAGCCUUUCUGGCUAAUCAGAUACGGUCACUAAAUGACUAAAAUUUUCGUGUGGAUUGGGUAGUGACACCAACCAGUGGUUUAUUUGCAGCUGUAGUAUGUAUUUCAGCCUCCGUAUAAACUCUUUGAUAAUGCAAGUGUAACCAGUAACUAAACACUACUAAUUUUAAGACUAGUGAUGUACAAAAUACAAGAGAUUUACUAAACUCUUUUCUAGUUAGCGUCACACUUCAAAUUACUUUUGGUAAGAGGUGGUAAAAAAAGGCAUUUAACUGCUUUACUCUUCAUUUUUAAAUGACUUCUUAAACAGUUUUAAAAAAUUGCAUUAAAAUGUAAAUAGAACAUAUUCUCCUCAGGAGAAUAAAGUGGAUGCAUCAUGUCUAGAAGUAAUGAUGGUUUAUACCUGUUAAUCUUGUUUUCAGCCUGUGUAUUGAUUAUUCUCAUUUGAACAGUGAUCCUCAUCUUUGAUAGGCCAGAUUUUUCUCCCAAGAAAUACACAUACUCACAUAUGUAAAAGUAUUUCCAGACUUCCUUGGGAGUUCUUGGACCCAAGUCCACCUUUGCUGAAAGACUUAAUUUCAGAUUAAUACUCUAUUAGGGGCUAUGUAACACAUACAGAUGGCAAAGUUUUUCUUUUUUUUCCUCCUCUGUUUUUUUUGGAGGGACUAAAUUCUAUGAGAAAUAUACACAUUAAUGACAGAAAAAAAUGAUGAACAAAACAAAUUUUAAGUCACCCUUAAUUCUUUUUAUCUGGAGAUAACUGCUAUACAUAAAAAUUGAUAAAAUUAAUAAUAAUCUUCUUAAAUUAAUGUAAUAAAAUAUGCAAAUGCAUAUAACGUUUGGUAUAUGUUCUUGGCUGUGCAUAAAAUUUAUGUUUAUCAUGUAUUAUUUUAAUAUUUUUGACUUCUAUGAAAAUUUUAUAGCCUUUUGUAUGAAAAAUAGAAUUGUAUGAACUCUAGGGGUUUUUUUGUACAUUUUUUUCUUUGAGGAGUUUCUUAUAAAAUAUAUCUCCUGUAGUGACAUUUUGUUUUUCUGUGUUCUUUUGAAUCCUAAUUUUUUAUAGUCCUUUUCAUGGCAAAGAACUCAUAAUUUGAAGCUGUAGUUUUGUUUGUUGAGUUACCAGGUAUUGACAGUCAUUAGAAUAGUGCUACUUUUAGGAAUUCUGAAUAAACUAAGAGUUCAGGAAAUGUACCAUCAGAUGUCUGAAAAAUGUUUUCCCAUAUUAACAGAUUUUUACAAACACCUUAAAUUUAGUACUUUGGUAUUGUACAGUAGGGAUUAUGUUGUUUACUUAGAGAUUGUAUUGUUUUUUUAGUAGAAUUUAAAUGAGUUCAGUUCGGUAUCUAAAAUUAUCCUCUGACAAUUUCAAAUAAUUAUAUUUGAAAUACAGAGAUCUUUUUAGCAACAGUAGAGUGAUGUUAUGAUUGUAUAUGACAUUUCAUUAAAUCCACUUACAAAAUUAGGAAUAGAUUUUAUGUACUCAGAUUAAAAUAUGUGGCCUAAUACAGAGAAAGACAGAUACCAUAUGGUUUCACUCUUAUGUGGAUCCUGAGAAACUUAACAGAAGUCCAUGGGGGAGGGGAAGGAAAAAAAAAAAAAAAAGAGGUUAGAGUGGGAGAGAGCCAAAGCAUAAGAGACUGUUAAAAACUGAGAACAAACUGAGGGUUGAUGGGGGGUGGGAGGGAGGGGAGGGUGGGUGAUGGGUAUUGAGGAGGGCACCUUUUGGGAUGAGCACUGGGUGUUGUAUGGAAACCAAUUUGUCAAUAAAUUUCAUAAAAAAAAAAAAAAAUAAAAUAAAAAAUAAAAUAUGUGGCCUAUAAAAAGUCAGUUAAGUAUAAUUGAUUGAAUUGAUCUUUGCUUUAUAUCAGAGAGUAGCCAAAAUGGCACAGUGUUAAUGGGAGAAACUGCUUAUCCAGCUUUGGAGGAAACGAAGUCGGCCCUUGAGGUAAACAUAUGUUUUACUCUGUGGAUAUAUGGUAAGCAAUAUUCCUUAGGGAAUAUUAAGGAAUAAUUAAGGUUUCCCUUUCUAGUUAUACUUUUAUUCCUCUUUGAAUUAUGCAACAUUUAUUAAAAAUUUUGAGAUUCCACAGAUUGGUCACUUUUAUGAUUAGCGUUAGCUUCUGUUUCAACUCUUAAGUGAAAUGCCUUUUAAUUUACAAAAGUAAUUUCUUGGAAAUGUGUGAAAGAUCUGUUCAUUUACUCUCCAAUAUAAUUUUACUUUGAAGUAGAUUAUAUUCUUGAAUUAUACUGAGAAAUUAAGUUAUUAGGACUGAUCUCUAAAAAUGAAGAUUCGUUUUUAAAUUUGAGAACAAACAAAAUCUUGUUUUUUGGUGUUUUACUUGACUUCUAGAUAAAACUAGUUUAUAUGAUUUUUACAUGGCAUAGCUAUUGAAAUUUAUUACAUAUGCAACCAGAGAAAUUUGUAAUCAGUCUUUUACGGGCUUCCUGACUAUUGAAUUAUGCUCGAAUAAACCCAUGGAACUGGUGAGAAAUGAAUCCUCUUUUCCAUGGUCCUUGUGUUUUAAAAGUGAGCUUUUUAGUUUCUGUAGCCCAUGAAAAUUAGGCAGCAGUUUGAUCUAAUUCUGACAGAGAUAAUCGUCAAGGGGGUUGAUGGUGUUUUCAAUCUGAAAGAUGAGUCUACUCCUGAGUAAUCUUUGUCUUUUGGGCAGGACUCCUAUCUUUUAUUUUAAGCCUAAAUUACCAUAGCACUUAAGUACUGUUGUACACUUUGAACUGCAUAGAAAACAUAAGGCUCUUAAAUAAUUGUUAAAUUUACUGUUUUUAAAAUUAUUCCUCAGAGAGAAGAAAAGUCGUCGGAAGACCAUGUCUAUUUUGGAACUGUCAGUGAUGAUUCUGAUAUUGUUACCCUUGAGCCACCUAAGUUAGAAGAAAUGGGAAAUCAGGAAGCUAUAAUUGUUGAAGAAGCACAGAGUCCAGAAGACUUUAACAUGGGCUCUUCUUCUAGCAGCCAGUAUACAUUCUGUCAGCCAGAAACUGGUAAGAACUGCAUAAAGAAUACACUGAUGACAGACUUAAGUUCUCCUGUGACCACCUUUUAUAUAUAUAAUGGUCAAGUUUUUAAUACAUUUGAGAUUUUUUUUGUAAAACCUACUAUUAAAUCUGGUGUUUUCUUACAUUGUAGGACUUAGAGUACAAUUGCUAUAACAAUAAAUAACAACAUCUUUUAUUAAGUGAAAGAUGAAAAAAAUAUCUUCAAGGAGAUUUGUUACUGUCUGAAACACUCAAAUGCAUUUGAUACAUUUUUUAGAUCUUUAAGGGUGGGAGAUUGUGCCAUUGUAACUAAAAACAGGAGAAAGUUAAGGUUUCUACUUACAGUGGUACGAAUUUUAUAUUCUAGAAAUAAGCUUAUUAAUUGAAGUCUUUUAGAUCCUUUCAGUUAUUAAUCAUUUAACAAACAUUUAUUGGAUGCUACUAUGUGCUAAACAGGGUUCAAAGAGCUGGCAGCACAGCAGCAUCCCAAAGCCUCUGACCUUUGUAUCUUUCAUUUUAGAUUGAGUUAUGAAAGGUUCCUAUUUUAAGUCAUAUUAUUAAUGCAGUUCAUGCCUACUGUUGAGAUAAUGAUUUGGAAGUUAAAAUGUGAGUUACUGAGCUAAUUCCUUUCUAUAUUUCUUUGGCUCAUUUGGAGGGAUGUAUAUAAUAACGUCUUUUCACAUGGACAUAAAUAUUUAGACACAAAGUUACUGGAAGAUAAACAGACCUGGAAUUAACUCACACUUAUUAACCAAUAACUUGAGCAGUAGCUCAAGGAUGAAUUGUGGGAAAGACAAGUUGGUGCACUGCUAAGGGAUUCCAAAAUGUCCUAAUUUGAUGGAAAAAUAGGGACGUGUCUAUUUUGGAUCAUUUUCUUAGAAUUUACCAUUCUUUAAUACUUAACAUUUGCCAGAAUCAGACAAAUGGAAUUUCUCUUAUUCCACUUUAAGCUAAAAAAAUGUCAAGUAGAGAUUUUUAGCUAUCUCGUUUAAUGGUGAGUUAUUUUCAGUUAGUAUACAAGAGCUUUUCAUUCAAAUAUUUAAAUACUCAACUGGCAUUCUUAGUGGUGGUCAGCCUUUGCCAGAAUGUAUACGUAGUGCAUUUAUUACAAGGACUAAUGAAAUGAUUUUAGAACCUUUUUUGUUCAUCAGAUUUUAUUUUGUUUAAAUCCAGGAUUCAUGCUGUAUUCAAGUAGUCUUCUUUCUUUCCAUCCUUCCUUUUUUUGGAAAACUAUAGAUGCUGGUUUAAUUUGAGAAUAUUCAUGGGCCAGAAAAAGUAGUCACAUUGAAGCAGGAGUAGCAGAAGAGUCCAAUCAGACAUCUAAGAAAUUGAUGCUAUAAACAAUUUUUCUCAGGAAUUUGGACACUUCAGAGCACAUUAUUCUGGUUUUUAUCUCCAUUCUGAACUUGGACUUCUUGGGGAUUUUACAGUUUCAGUUAAGAGAAAUAUUUUAUUAGGAGUAUUUUUAUCCAUUGCUAUCUCUCCGAAAGGAGUAAGUUAUUUCAAUAAAGUAUUACAAAGUAAUAAGAAAAAAGGACAUUUUGGAUUACGUUGAAAACACUAUAUAGAAAUCCAUUGCUAAGAGUCUUGUUUUCUCUCUUAUCUCCUAUUUUUCUUGGUUUAAUUCCUGACUACCUAUUUCCUGGUUAUUUUGAUUUUCCUUUCCCUUCUCCAUCUCUGUAGGAUUCCAUCUUCAGGUUUUUUCUUCUUCUAAAUUAGAUUCUUGGGACAAUAUACUUUUUGUUUAUUUGAGAAUACUGUCCACUGCUGCCAGAGGAUUCUCCCCCAAGAAAGCAAAGUUGGUAGCUGUAGAAAAGUUUGUAUUGCAUAUGUUUUUUUUAAAAGGCAUGAUUGUAAAAUUUUGAUGGAGCACAAAUAACGAUGUUAAGUGAUAAUUAAAAUAAGUAUUUUCAAUUCUCUUUUUCCUUUUUAGUCUUUAUAACAAAGCUUUAUACAUCUUUUUUUCCUGUUUAUUCACAAAAGAAAGGUGGUGGGAGAAGCUGUGGAAGAUUCCUGAAUGCAUAAGGGGAUGGGAUGAUCAGCUGAAACACCAUGUUCCUAGCCAACUCGCUUUCCAAGGUGGUGUGACUAAAUCUGAUCAGCUUUUCCAGAGCUGAGUGUGCCUAGUCACAUUUACUAUUUACUUAGUGCUUUAAAGAUAUCUGUUGUCAUCUGUGAUACUCUAAACAGGUGUUCAAAUUGGUCUUGUAAUAAAGCUGGCUGAGCUUACUGCAUGCCUUUGCGUUGCCUGCAUCUUGGACUGUGGGCCAAAUUAAGCUUUGGAAGAAAUUUAAAACCAAAAUAUUUUAGCUGUCCUAUGUAUGGGUUAAAAAAGAUGGAAGCAUUAGAUAAGGAGGUGAAUUUAUUAAUAUAGAUUAGGCUGCCUUGUUUACUUAGAAUAUAUAAUGAUGGUGAUAUGCUAAUGUAGAAUUAAAUAAAUUUAAUUUUGUGACAUUUCAAAUGAAAUUUGAAAGGAAUCUUGACGAAUUGUUUUUGCAUUUAUCCAUCUUAAUACAUAUUGCCAGAGAGUCUGACUUAAAUGCUCCAACCAUGAUCUUGAAUGCCUUUGUAUUAUGUAAUGCUUUGUUUAAGUCUUCCUUUCUUUCUCUUUGUCCAAGAAAUGUAACCUCACAGCUGAGGCGACGGCAUCUGGGAAAAACUAGUGAUCAAGAAUAACCAGAUAAACAUGAUGGGCAUAAGGGUCAUGACCAAAAGAUCUCUCAGUGGCAUCUGUAUCACUAAAUAUUAGGAAUAUUCGUUCAUUCAGUAGUUCUUUUUGUCUUUGUGUUUGUUGUUGUCAGUGUGAAAGUUACCUGAAUUCCUCUGUGAUCCAUCUUUAAAAAGUAUUGCCUAACCUAAGUCACCAACUUUCCUGUGGCAUGGUUAUCCUGUCUUCUGAAGAACCAUUUUACUUUUUUGAAGCAUGAAUGUUUGUUAUUUUGGAGCUCUUUGUAUAACAUUGAGGUUCACAUUUAUCCUUUUGGUGCUUUUUUUUUUUUUAUUCCUCUAACUGGCCUGUGGAAAUUGUUACCAAGCUAUCUAACCUUCUGUGUUAACAUAUAGUUUAUUGAUUGAUGGAGCGGUGUUAACAAAUUAUAAAUUUGAAAAAACCAAAGGUGAUUUUUUUAGUGGAUAUACCAGGACUUGAGAUUUCUUGUGGCUUUUUUUUGUUGUUGUUGUUGUUCUUUACUAUUCUUUUCAUAAAGGAGCAGCACCAGACUAGUCCUUAAUAUCGGAGAUAGCUGUUGUGUCACUUCCUCAUGCUGACAUAUUUACUAGAGGGUAAAAUUAAUAACCUUCUAGUAAGAGUGGCAGUCGAAGGGAAGGGCUCAUCUGACUUCUGGAUACCUGUGUUAAACUAUAGUGCUUUGAACCUUGAUUGUGGACUCAAGGAAUGGAAAUGAAACUAGGGUCCAGAUACACCCAAGAAAACUUUAGGUAGUUGUUGUACUUUGUAAGUCACAGGAACUGUUUGUAUACCUCCCUGUGUCCCUUCAACAGUUGAGCUUAAAUUGCCUCUAUUUGAAAUUGAAAGAAGAGAUUGACAGUUUUUUUUUUCCUUCCAGAAACAGUAUCUGUUUAUGGUUCUAAUAGCAAAGAAAUUUAAUAGACUAUGAGAAUGAUUGUUCUAACAGUAUAAACUUUAAGAGAGGUUUGAAAAAUAAAACCAGAUAGACCCUCAAAGGCACAGACUAUGAUUGAUUCUUGUGUAUCACAGUUGAAAUCUUUGAUGUUUAUGGCUUUAUGUUGAUAAACUUGAAAACUUGAGUGUUUGUGUUCUUUUGUUUUUGUUUUUGGCUGUCUUAUGUAAAAGGGCAUGUAGGGAUGGCAUUGAUUAUUCUAAAUCAUUUACUAGAAAAACUAUUCUAAAAUUUUUAAUAUUUACGUUUUUCUUUUUAAAAUAGUAUUUUCAUCCCAGCCUAGCGACGACGAAUCAAGUAGCGAUGAGACCAGUCAUCAGCCUAGUCCUGCCUUUAGACGACGCCGUGUUAGGAAGAAGACUGUUUCUAGUUCUGACUCUGAAGAACGGCUACUCCCCGAACAAGAAACCGAACCCUCUAAGGAGUUGCAUAAACGCCAGUUCAGCAGUGGUCUCAAUAAAUGUGUUAUACUUGCUCUGGUGAUUGCAAUCAGCAUGGGAUUUGGACAUUUCUAUGGUAAGUAUUUGAAAAUUGGUUAUAUAAAAAUUGAUGGUCUAGUGUAUGGACCCUUACUAAGAGUGAGGAAUUCUGGGAUCUGUUUUCAGUGUCCUCAUUAAAUAUAUAACCUUGCAAAGCUUGCCAUCUGUUUGAGCCUCAGUUUUCUCAUUUGGAAAUGGGGAUAGUGCUGCCUAUCUCACAAAGCUGUUUUUCACUGAAGUUUGGUGGUAUUUAUUUAAGAAAUGUAGCAUCCAUGUUGUUUUUUUUUUCUUUAAAGAAAAAGAUUAAAAAUCUGAAGUGCUUACCACAAGGGCCAUAAUUUUAAUUUAGAAUCACAAACUAGCUUUAAUUGUGGCUUUAUUUGGAAGAUUAUUUAAAUCUCAGUUGAAAUGGUUAUAUUUGAAAUGUCAUAAUAAUUGGUGCUCAUUAUUUUUCCCCUCAGGUUUUAUGCAAACAUUAUAUUUUGUGACAUUUGUUGCUGCUUCCAUGAUCCAUAUGAAUUGAGAAUUUAUUUUUUUAUAAUUUAUUAUUAUACUUUUCUCAUUGUUGUUCUUGUUAGUGUUUAUGUAUAUUAAUCAUCUUUAAUGCAAAGCCCUUAAAAGUGUUUUGGAUGAAAAGAGGAGGGAAUUCCAUAUGGUGUUGUUUUUCAUUUGGGAGCCUAACUGUUGAAUCUUAGUUAAUGUGAUUGUUUCUACAAAGAUAAGACUGUUUGAGAACUGAGCAUUCACACUCUUUGCUGUAUUAGAAUUUUGAAAAAAAACGCAUGAAGCAAAUGUUUUAGAUCUUGUCACUUUUACAGAUUUCAAUUUGCCUUACAUGAACUUCUGAGUUUUGCUGAUAUGAUCCACAGUUUAACUUUUGGAAUAUUCCUGUUUUGCUAGUUCCUUUCAACAAUGUGUACCUUAAUGCAAAAUGCACCAUAUGUUAAUUUUUGGAAAAGAUACAUUAUUCAACACAGUGUAAUGUUAGAAUAAGUAAGACAGUCAAUACUUCUUUAAAGUCAGAGUCAAUAAAAUGUGUUUCUUCUUGUCUAACUUUAUAUUAAAAAAUUAACAUUUAGACUCCUGGUGGAUAUCUGCUUGAAUUUAGUACUGAGAUACUGUAAUUUGUAUCCUCCCUUGAAGUUUGUUGUAAUGAGAUUUGACUUGAAAUAUAUGCUUAAUUUUGUUAUUUUCUAGCUGGAACAAAUGUAUGAAUGUUUUUUUUGAGCAUGAUUUCUUUCCCCACAGGUAAACAUGGAGGUAACAAAGGAGAAGGUCUUCUCUUAAUCUUUUUUUUCUUACUAAAAAAAUUGGACAGUGAUUUAAUGUUAAUCCAAAUUGCAUUAAAACCCCACCAGUUGCAUGACCUUUAAGUAUUUAGUGGAAAGAAUAACUUAGAAACGAGUGCUUUCAAAAUUAAGAAACUACUGCUCUGUUUAAAAUUUUGGUUACUUGUAAAUUUUACUUUAAUGAUUAUAUUUAAUAAAACAUUUUCUUAUACUUUUUAAAAGCAUCUUUUUGGAAUAUGAAAGGCCUGGGUAAUAUGAAAUAGGUCUGCAUCGUGAUGAGAUUAGCUCGGUGAACAUAUAAAAACUUCUCUGACAGUUUUUCAAGGUCACUAUUUAAACGACAUCACAUUUUUUUCUUAAUUCUGGCACUUGUCUCAACACUUUAAGAGCUCUUUUGAGUUGAUUUCAGAGCCAGUUUGAAUUUCUCAUGCACCAUGAAAUUAGUCAUUGCAUUCUAUAAUCUAUCAUUUGGUUACUAAUUAUGUAACAAAACAUCCCAUUAAGUGAAUCACUGCGAACAUUCACCAAGCUUGGCUCUGUAUGAGCUUGGAGAAUCAGACCUUUCCUAGAAGGAAAGGAAAACUAGCAGGAGUGAGGAUAGUAAAACAAUGUACUACAGAUAAUAUGGUACUGCUUUAGGUUCUGAAGGUGCUUAGAAAAGUUAAAAAAAUUUUUCAUGUUUGAAGCACCUGUCUUCCUUACUCUUUUUAUACAUGUCGGCUAUCCAUAUUCUAAAUCAACAGUGGAGUUCAGUUGAUUCGAUUUUCUCAUGGAGUUGCUUUAAGUUUUGAUAGGCUACCCUGCUCUUCAGACAUUGUAACAGAAUAUAACUAAGUACUAAGUUGUGUGGCACAGACAAGAAUUAUAGCUCAAAGGCUAUACUUACUGAGUCAUCCUGGAGGUGGUAGGAUUUGAGCCGGGUCUGGUCUUAUGCUUAUGCUAGGUAGAAGGAAAGUGGAUUGUUGCAGCAACGGAGAACAUGAUAAUCUGAAUGUAAACUUUGCUGGGUUUGGGAGCAGUGAGAAGACUGGCUGGACUAUAGCAGAGGAGGUAAAUCAGGCUACAUUAAGACAGAUGUCCAACGCAUGCUGUGUAAUAGUACUGCAAAUUCAGAUCUCAACACAUAGUUUUAGGUUAUUUUCCAAGGGGGUGAAGGAAUUCAUCCUGUCAGCAGUUUGAAAACAAAGAGGUUUUCUGUUAUUUGGGGAACUACAAAUGAAUUUUCAACAUUUAAAAAAUCUGAAAUUCUUUUGAGUAAUAUUGAAACAAAUUUACCAUGCUUUUAUAAAUUGGAAAAUUAAAAGAGAGGAAGUGAACCCUAACAGAAGAAUAUCAGAGCUGGUAACAGUUGUUUAUGAUUUGGCAAAAGUUUUCUCUUUACUAUUUCUCAAGAUUAUUGAAGAAAUCAAAGGUUCUUUUUUUUUUUUUUUUUUUUUUCAACGUUUAUUUAUUUUGGGGACAGAGAGAGACAGAGCAUGAAUGGGGGAGGGGCAGAGAGAGAGGGAGACACAGAAUCGGAAACAGGCUCCAGGCUCUGAGCCAUCAGCCCAGAGCCUGAUGCGGGGCUCGAACUCACGCACCGCAAGAUCGUGACCUGGCUGAAGUCGGACGCUUAACCGACUGCGCCACCCAGGCGCCCCAAGGUUCUUUUUUUUUUAGCAGUAGGGGAAGAAGUAGUAAACUAUCAUUACAUCCUUUCAUUCCAAAUUCUGUGAUGUCUUUACAUAAUAGAAUUCCACUGUAGAUGUUAAUGUCAUGGUUGCCAAAUGCCUUUUGCCUUAUUUUUUUUAAUGUUUACUUUAUUUUGAGAGAGAGAGAGCGCGCACUUGCACGCAUGAGCUGGGGAGGGGCAGAGAGAGGAGAGAGAAUCCCAACAGGCUCCACGCUGUCAGCGCAGAGCCCGACAUGGGGCUCAGUCCCAUAAACCGUGAGAUCAUCACCUGAGCUGAAAUCAGGAGCUGGAUGCUUAACUGACUGAGCGACCCAGGCACCCCUUUUGCCUUAUUUUUGACUUAGUGUUUUAUUUUGUUUUUUUCUCUCUCAUGCAUGAGGAAUGUAGCAGCAUGUGAACAGCAUGUCUUGGCAAAUUAACAUUUUGGUUUUUAGGGUGAAAACUUAGAGACUCCUAGUUGGCUUAAGAUUUUUCACUCCUGGGAUGGGGAUGGUGGCACUCUAGCACAGACCUAACUAAUGCAGAAUUUUUAAAAGAUUUGGCUGUGAGAAGGGUAGGUAAUCACAGCCAAUUAUUUUCCUUGCUAUACCUUUUGGGCUGUGUUACAUCAUUUAGGCAAAAUGUAGUGAGAAAAAAUAGACAUUUUUAUUUUUCCUUAUUGAUUAUAUCCUGUGAAUGGAUUUCAUGGUUUGUUUGUUUCCCUGUUGAAGACAACAUUUUUUUAUACCUCACCCAUCUCUCAAAAACAACAAACGAGUGCCCUUGUUAUGGUAGACUGGCUUGUUUUAAUCAAAAGGAUAGUGAACUGCUUAAGUAUCUGUGGAUGUGUGCUAAAUUAAAAAAAAAAAUGCAUUAACCUACUUGGCCUGAUUUAUAUUAACAUUUAUCUACCACCAUUUGAUGAAUGACAUCAUGAGAUUUUACUUAUUCGUUUUUCAGGCACAAUUCAGAUUCAGAAGCGUCAACAGUUAGUCAGAAAGAUACAUGAAGAUGAAUUGAAUGAUAUGAAGGAUUAUCUUUCCCAAUGUCAACAGGAACAAGAAUCUUUUAUAGAUUAUAAGGUAGGUACUACUAACAAACUUUUUAAAAAAAGACUUGUUAGCCAAUAAUUAUUGUGCUGUUCAGAUACAAGUACAAAGAAGAUUAUUAGUGAGUAAAUAUACUAUUGUAAUUGUAGAUUACUUACUGUGUCCUAGUCACUGCUGUGAGUACCUCACAUACAGUAUUACUCUUAUUGCUCACCACAGCUCUGUGAAUUAAGCAAGUAUUAACUUCAUUUCAUAGAUGGGAAAGAGGUUCAAAAAAGCUAACUUUUCCAAGGCUAGCAACUGGCAGAGCUGAAUUUAUCUGACACCAAAGAUGUUAUUUCUGAUUAUUAUAAUUAACAUUUUUAAUUGAUAUAUAUAGAAAACAUUGUUAUUAUUAGCAUUAUUUUUAUAGAACUGAACAAAACAUUUCCAAUCAGUGAGAAAGAGGAGUUUGUAGCCUCUCUCUAAGAUCUUUCCUUCAUCAAGGGAAAUGAAGUAAUCAGCCAGUCCUUUUUUUUCUUUGGUUUCUUGUUGGAUCGGAUGGAAGAGAGAGCAUGUUUUACUUCCCACCAAAAACUUACCUACCACCCAGCAGCUCUUUUAAUACCUGUGUGGGUAUGAGGACCAGCGCGAUAGCUGGUCUCCUAUCUGGUUCAUCCAUAAGGAGGGCAUAGGGCUUGCAGAACUCAGGGUAGAAAAGUAAACUGUUGCUUUUUUCUCCCAUUCCUUUAAAUUUCCUUCAGUUGAUGUGUGUAUCCCUUAUAGGGUCACAUUACAUUUCCUUAAAAGAAUCCCACUUGACAUCUGAAUUCUUUCAGGCAGGGACUACUCAAGUUAUUUGUUAAUAGUGUAGUUUUUCCUACCUGGAUCAAAGGAUGUUGUAAAAAGAGUAGCCAUUUUCUUCUUUACCAUCGUGGUUUCUGGUUCCAUAGGAUGAUGUUGACUUUUAGGAGACUGACCCUGCAUAGAUCUUCACUGAGUCAGUUCUUGCAGAUCUCUUAUCUCCAGCUGUUAAAUGUGGCUUUGAAGAUCUUCAUGGGAGACCUGCUCCUGGAUUUGCUUAUCAGGCACUUAAUUUAAGACUAUGGAGUUUACUGAAUGCAGAAUAUACCCUGCAGUCAUUCUGUGGCCCCUUAUGCUUUUGCAUUUAAAGAUAAUGCUACAUUACUCUGUACUACCCUGUGGUCCACUUCCAUUGCAUACAUGAAACUUGUUUUCUCUCUCAUUUGGAGAGCAGAUAAAAUGAUGAUAAUGAAAUUUUAAAUUUUAAUUUGUUCUUCGAAGACUGAAGACAGUGAACCAUCCAUUUCAGAUGGUUAUCUUUCAAGUGGAAAUACUGUCAUUCUCUUUAAUUUUUUUAUUAAAAAAAUUUUUUUUAAACAUUUAUUCAUUUUUGAGAGACAGAGAGUGACAGAGUGUGAGUGGGACAGAGAGAUAAGGGAGACACAGAAUUCGAAGCAGGCUCCAGGCUCUGAGCUAUCAACACAGAGUCCGAUGCGGGGCUCAAACCCAUGGACUGUGAGAUCAUGACCUGAGCUGAAGUCGGACGCUUAACCGACUGAGCCACCCAGGCACCCCAAUAUUGUCAUUCUCUCUCUCUCUCUCUCUCUCUCUCUUUAAAAAGAAAAUUUUAAUGUUUAUUUUUUUGAGAGAGAGCACGAGCAGGGGAGGGGCAGAGAGAGACAGGGAGACACAGAAUCCGAAGCAGGCUCCAGGCUCCAAGCCAUCAGCCCAGAGCCCAACACAGGGCUCGAACUCACAAGCUGUGAGAUCAUGACCUGAGCCGAAGUCAGACACCCAACCGACUGAGCCACCCAGGUGCCCCCUGUCAUUCUCUUAAAGGACUUUUUUUUUGUUUCUUGUAUAUCAGAUUUUUUUUUUUUGUCUGAUUCAAAUGAAUAACCAUAAUGUCUGUGGUAAAUUAAGUAAAAUUUAAGUGUCAUUUGCUGAUUUAUGCAUAAGAUACUCUAACUGAUUAGAUAAUGCUAUAACAAUUAACUUGUUUAAGCAUAUUGUUUAGUUUCUUGCUGUUUUGGUGAAAGUUUAUUACUAAUAACAUCUUGAAAGAAAGAUCAUUCAAGGCUACUUUGAAAUGCAGCAAAAUUCUGUAAACCUUAUUGAACAUGGUUUUUUUUCUCUAUCAAGGGUGCUGACUUCUAGCUAUAAUUUUAUUUUUAUAAAAAAUUAUCUUCACUUAAGGGUCCGAGAAGCCUCUAGUCCUGCCUAAAUUCUCUUUAGGAGACUUCUCAGGAGAGAUUAGAGUCCUGUAGUCAAAAGAUAGAAGACCUGUCUCCUUUUCUUCUAACUUGUAAGUGGACCUAGAAACCAUUAAGGCUUUAAUAUGAUUAUGGGAAAUAGUAAUCACUAAUAAACACUAAUCAGAAGUACUCCUAGUUCUAUUUUAGAAAUCUUACUAGGGAUGAACUAGGCUAUAGCUAAUUUUUUUCCAGUCUUUAAAUUCUUCCAACAUGCUGUGUUGUUGUUGUUGUUGUUUAUUUUUAAUGAAACAUUUCAUUUUAUAUAUAUUUUUUAAGUAGGCUCUACACCCCUGGGGCGCCUGGGUGGCUCAGUCAGUUGAGCUUCCGACUUCAGCUCAGGUCAAGAUCUCAUGGUCCAUGAGUUCAAGCCCCCUGUCGGGCUCUUUGCUGACAGCUCGGAACCUGGAGCCUGCGUCGGAUUCUGUGUCUCCCACUCUCUCUGACCCUUCCCCAUUCAUGCUCUGUCUCUCUCUGUCUGAAAACUAAAUAAACAUUAAAAAAAAUUUUUUUUAAAGUAGGCUCUACACCCCAGCAUGGAGCCCAGUGUGAAGCUUGAACUCAUGAUUCCAAGAUGAAGACCUGAGCUGAGAUCAAGGAUUGGUCACUUGCAUACUGAACCACCCAGGGGCCCCAGCUAUGUUAUUAUUUUGAUGUAGCCUGUGCUGUGCAUUUUCUUCCAUAUGAACCUUCUUAUUUUUACAUCUUGAAAUACAUACAUAUACACUACAAAUACAUAUACUGCAUAAAGGGUAGUCUGCAGAAAUAGACACGUGGGGCUCCUGGCUGGCUCAGUCGGUAGAGUGAUCUUGGUUCUUGGAUCUUGAUCUUGGUUGUGAGUUUGAGCCCCACAUUGAGUGUGGAGAUUACUUAAAAAUAAAAUCUUAAAAAAAAUAGAUACUAAAAAUUUAUGAGUAUUGGUUAUAUAUGAUUUCAUCUUACAGAUUUAAAUUGAGCUUUUAAAUAAGGCAUGUGACAUUUUUCUUUCUUCUCUUUCAAAAAAAUUUAGUCAUUGAAGGAAAACCUUGCAAGAUGUUGGGCCCUUACUGAAGAAGAGAAGGUGGCCUUUGAAACUCAGAAAAAGAACCUUGAUACAGAAAAUCAGUAUUUAAGAAUAUCUCUGGAGAAGGAAGAAGAAGCCUUAUCUUCAUUACAGGAAGAGUUAAGGAAACUAAGAGAACAGAUUAGGCUAUUGGAAGAUAAAGGGACAGGUACUGAAUUAGUUACAGAAAAUCAGAAACUUAAGCAGCAUCUGGAAGAAGAAAAGCUGAAGACACACAGCUUCCUUAAUCAAAGGGAGACUCUUUUGGCAGAAGCAAAGAUGCUAAGGAAGGAACUGGAGAGAGAACGACUGAUAACCAUGGCUUUAAAGGUGGAACUCCAGCAGUUAAGCUCUAGUGAAUCAUAUGGCAACCCAGACUCUCCGAAUGUAUUGACUGAAAAAAAGGAAAUAGAAAUCUUACGGGAAAGACUCACUGAGCUGGAGCAGAAGCUAAACUUUGAACAGCAGCGUUCUGAUUUGUGGGAAAGGCUGUAUAUUGAGGCAAAAGAUCAAAAUGUAAAACAAGAAACUGAUGGAAAAAAGAAAGGGAGCAGAGGAAACCACAGGGCUAAAAAUAAGUCAAAGGAAACAUUUUUGGGUUCAGUUAAGGAAACAUUUGAUGCCAUGAAGAAUUCUACCAAGGAGUUUGUGAGACAUCAUAAAGAAAAAAUUAAACAAGCUAAAGAAGCCGUGAAAGAAAAUCUGAAAAAGUUUUCAGAUUCAGUUAAAUCCACUUUCAGGCAUUUCAAAGAUACCACCAAGAAUAUCUUUGAUGAAAAGGGCAAUAAAAGAUUUGGUGCAACAAAAGAAGAAGCAGCUAAAAAACCGACAGUCUUUAGUGAAUAUUUACACCCACAGUAUAAGUCACGUACACAAAACCAGAAUAAUAGAGGCCCUACUAUGCAAAGAGAGGGAAGGAAAGAAAAGCCAAUUCACUUUGAAGAAUUUAGAAAAAAUACAAAAUCACAGAAAUGCAGUUCUGAGCAUGACUGUAGUGCAAAUUUUGAUUCUUUCAGAAAGUCUUGUUCUGGUGUAUUUGAAUGUGCUCAACAGGAAUCCAUUAACCUUUUUAAUAUGAAAGUGUUGAAUCCUGUAAGGAUAGAUGAAUUUAGACAGUUAAUUGAAAGGUAUUUAUUAGAAAAACUGGAUAGUUUUCAUCACUGGAAAGAACUUGAUCAGUUCAUCAAUAAGUUUUUCCUAAAUGGUGUCUUUAUACAUGAUCAGAAGCUCUUCACAGACUUUGUUAAUGAUGUUAAAGAUUAUCUUAAAGACAUGAAGGAAUAUCAAGUAGAUAAUGAUGGAGUGUUUGAGAAGUUGGAUGGAUAUAUAUAUAGACACUUCUUUGGUCACACUCUUUCCCCUCCAUAUGGACCCAGGUCGGUUUACAUAGCACCAUGUUAUUAUAAUAGUUUUUAACAUUUAUAGAUUGGGUAGCAUUUUUAUCAUUUUAACAUCUUGGAAUGUUACUAUCCAUAAAGUACUUUUUGUAAAGAAAAAAAAGUGUUAUUUGUAAAAGUACUUUAUUGCUAGAGAAUUUAGAAUAAAUUAAAUGGAAAGAUAAAAUUUUAAUAGCUAUUACAAACUGAAAAUUUCAUAUGAUCACUUUGACUCGAGCAAAUGGUUUAAUUUCUGCCUUAAAAAUAUGUUAAGGAAAAAAGAUCCUAUUUUAGCCUAUCUUGUUUCUUUUCAUUAUAGUUUAUAUGAAAAGGUAAUUAAGUGAAAUUAUUUUCCUUUAAUCUUUUAUUUUUUUACUCACUUUGGGUGAGUAAAUUCAGAUUUCACUCUGAAAUUGGAAGAACUUGUGUGUACAGUUUGCAUUGACCCACUUACUUAUCUAAUUCCACUUACCAACUAAAUUAUGAUACUUAAUAGUUAGUACAGAAUUAUCUUUGAUAAAGGUAGAGGCAAACUUAGCAAGCUACAGGUUAUAAUAUGUGUGGCUUAUAUGCAUAAUUUCUAAAUAAAACUAUUCAUUGCUUAUUAGCUUUAUAUUCUGUAACCUGAAACUCACCUAAUCUUCAAAUGUUAGCUUUAUUUUUUUAUCUUUAAGAUAGGUAUAUAUUAUCUUUCUGAAUAAAUGUAAUGUGUCUAUAAAAUAAUGAGACUGAUUCUGGUAUCUUUAGUCAUUAAAUAUCUAGUGCCUAAAUGAGCAAAACAGUGUGAGGCUGCCCUGAUGAAACAUGAAAAACUCUUGCCAUCAAGGAGCUCACAAGCUUUUGGAGAGUUAGGUAAAUGUAAGAAAUGAAGUGAGGAAUGGAGAUAUUGUAUGUGGUGGCCUCAACCUGGAGAUGUUUUGGGAGGCUUCAUGAGUGAGGUGGUCUUUGAACUGAACUUCUUUAAACUGGUUUUUGAAGGAGAAAUGAGAAUUUGUCAAGCAGAUAGAGUAGGACAUUCUAUUCAAAGAGAACUUCAUUUGCACACAUUUGGAGAUGUGAAGACAUGUCCUUUUAAGGAGGCAAGGUAGUGCUGGGGUAUGAAAAGAUACAGAUCUUUUGUGAAGAUCAGAAGGACUUCAUUUUAUGCUAAAAGACUUGUUGCUUCAUUGCAUUUUGGAUCAUUGGCAAUAGCCUGGAGGAUUAGUUGGAAAGAGUGAAGCUGGUAGGUGGUCUUUGAAAAAGUACAGACAUGAGCUGAUGAUUAACUAGGUUAAUAGUAUGAGUGGGAGAGAGACAGAUUUGAAUAAUAUAUAAGAAGAAAAAUUGGUGGUAUUUCUUGUGAAAGAGAAGUAGAAAAUAACAUUUCUUCCAGAUUUCUGGGUUGGAUCACUAGUUGGAUAGUGGCAUCACUAAGGUAAGGGAUGCGAGGGCAUUUUGAGUAAGGGGAAUUGGAAUUGAGAAUUGGGCUUGGAGGUACGUAUUGACAGUCACAUGAAAAAAAUUAGUUGGCCAUUAGAUACAUGACUCUAGUCCAAAUUCUGUGUGCAUAUAGAUAGUCUAGGCUGGGGGUGUUUAUCAGAAUCUUGGGGAACACUAACAUGUAAGGGGUUGUGGAGAAUGAAGGCUGAGAAGAAGACCAUAGAAUAGCAUCAUGAAAAUUGAAAGAUCAUCUCAAGUGAAAGGAAUAUACAAACGUGUGUCAAAUGCUUUAAACAUUAAACAAAAGAGACUGGAUUUCUUGGUUGGGGAAUUGGGUGGCCAUGAAUGGCAUUAUGGACUGUUUUAGUGAGGUAGUGAAGAAGCCUGAUUCUUUAGUGAAGAAGCCUGAUUAUGGAGUUUGAGGGAAAAAAAAAAAAAGACUUUCUUUUGUUUGUAAGAGAUGUAUACAUAUUCCUGCUGAGGGGUGAAGCCAAUGGGGAGGGAUUGGUUUUGCAGGAGAGGAAAAAUAAUGGAAACACAUCUCAUUAUUUUAUUGUCACAUUUCUAUUUAUUUGUUGGGUAUUUCCCCUUUGUUGCCACUACAGUUAUGUUUGUCUAUUUUUUCUGUCUGUAGGAUAAAAGUAUAAUACUGAAUCUUUUUGGUAUGGUUGUAUUAGGAUUAUACUUCAGGUUAAUUUAACAUCCUUUUUCAGAGUGUUCAGAUAAUUAAUGGAGAAAAACAUUAAAAUUGUUUCUUGUUUAAAUUUAACUCUAACAUAGAUGAAAAAUGUGUUUACUGCUUUCAGUCGACCAGAUAAAAAGCAACGUAUGGUAAAUAUUGAAAACUCCAGGCAUCGAAAACAAGAGCAGAAGCACCCUCAGCCACAACCUUAUAAAAGGGAAGGUAAAUGGCAUAAAUAUGGUCGCACUAAUGGAAGACACAUGGCAAAUCUUGAAAUAGAAUUGGGGCAGUUACCUUUUGACCCUAAAUAUUGAUUGUCAUGAUUCAGUUAAAUUAGAAAAUGGUAACAGAAACAUGGAUGGUAUCUACAAUGUUUGGUAUUGAAACUAAAAUGAAAUUAUCAAGAUAAUGUCUUUCUAUCAUUUCUAAGUAUCAGUUUGAUGACUUUACAUUAUUACUCAGAAGCAUCAAGCAAAAGCUUACAAACUUGCAUUUUCCUGUAGUUUAGUUUUGCUGAAAUUUUUUUGGCACUGGAAAUGUUCAACUGUAGUUUCAAGGAAGCCAGGCAUGCAACAGAUUUUGUGCAUGAAAUGAGUCUUCCUUUCAGUGUAUGAGCUUAAAGCAAGCUCAAAUCCUAUGACAAAGUGUAAUUAACACUGAUAUUUGUGUUAAAUUUGCAGUAGAGCUUGAAAAAGUACCUUGUGAUGGAAUUUCAUCUUUAACACUUUAUAAUCUUACACUUGCUUCUUGUCUUUUUGUGGGUUCAAGAGCCCGUUGACUUGUGAAGAAUUUGCUGCCUUCUUAUGAGCUUGCUGACUUGUUCUCUUGUGAAAUUUCUUGCACAUCUGAAUAUUGUGGAAGAAACAAUAAAACUACACCAUGAGGAAAACUAAAGGUCUUUAUUUAAAAUCUGGCAUUUGUAUUAAUAUAUGAUUUUAUACUUUGUGAUAUUUUUCAUACAUUUCCUCAGUAGUGAUAUUUGGUAAAUCAGUUCAGUGGUGUUUUGCUAGUUCAUAAAUUUUACCCAGUAUUUACAGGAGUAUUUACGCAGCAUCUGAAUAUUUCUACCCAGCAAUGUCUGUUUCUCUAGAAAAGAUUUAAACACAGUUGAGAAUUUCAGCUUCUGUUGAGUUUCCUUUUUAAUUUCCGUUCAUAGACAUAUAUGUGACUUCCAGUUCGACCUUCUGGCAAGUGAGUGUGGAAGAACACAGCAGUUCUCUCAUAGCUGCUUGAAAUUAGGAAAGCACUUAUUUCCUAGAAGUAAAUAAACGUUUAAAUAAAUAAAGGCUACA